rnacentral:rRNA from 1 species
UGAGGAAUAUUGGGCAAUGGAGGGACUCUGACCCAGCCAUGCCGCGUGAGUGAAGAAGGUCUUCGGAUUGUAAAGCUCUUUCGGUUGAGACGAUGAUGACGGUAUCGACUAAAGAAGCCCCGGCAAACUUCGUGCCAGCAGCCGCGGUAAUACGAAGGGGGCAAGCGUUGUUCGGAAUUACUGGGCGUAAAGGGAGUGUAGGCGGUUUAGUAAGAUAGCGGUGAAAUGCCAGGGCUCAACCUUGGAAUUGCCGUUAUAACUAUUGAACUAGAAUGAUAGAGAGGAUAUCGGAAUACCCAGUGUAGAGGUGAAAUUCGUAGAUAUUGGGUAGAACACCGGUGGCGAAGGCGGGUAUCUGGCUAUAAAUUGACGCUGAGGCUCGAAAGCAUGGGGAUCAAACAGGAUUAGAUACCCUGGUAGU